rnacentral:rRNA from 1 species
GCAAGUCGAGCGCGAAAGUACUUCGGUAUGAGUAGAGCGGCGGACGGGUGAGUAACGCGUAGGAAUCUAUCCAGUAGUGGGGGACAACUCGGGGAAACUCGAGCUAAUACCGCAUACGUCCUAAGGGAGAAAGCGGGGGAUCUUCGGACCUCGCGCUAUUGGAGGAGCCUGCGUAGGAUUAGCUUGUUGGUGAGGUAAAAGCUCACCAAGGCGACGAUCCAUAGCUGGUCUGAGAGGAUGAUC